UCCACCGAUUGACUAAGGUUUCCAGAGGAAGGCUCGUCCGCUCUGGGUUAGUCGGGUCCUAAGCUGAGGCCGACAGGCGUAGGCGAUGGAUAACAGGUUGAUAUUCCUGUACCACCUAUAAUCGUUUUAAUCGAUGGGGGGACGCAGUAGGAUAGGCGAAGCGUGCGAUUGGAUUGCACGUCUAAGCAGUAAGGCUGAGUAUUAGGCAAAUCCGGUACUCGUUAAGGCUGAGCUGUGAUGGGGAGAAGACAUUGUGUCUUCGAGUCGUUGAUUUCACACUGCCGAGAAAAGCCUCUAGAUAGAAAAUAGGUGCCCGUACCGCAAACCGACACAGGUAGUCAAGAUGAGAAUUCUAAGGUGAGCGAGCGAACUCUCGUUAAGGAACUCGGCAAAAUGACCCCGUAACUUCGGGAGAAGGGGUGCUCUUUAGGGUUAACGCCCAGAAGAGCCGCAGUGAAUAGGCCCAAGCGACUGUUUAUCAAAAACACAGGUCUCUGCUAAACCGUAAGGUGAUGUAUAGGGGCUGACGCCUGCCCGGUGCUGGAAGGUUAAGAGGAGUGGUUAGCUUCUGCGAAGCUACGAAUCGAAGCCCCAGUAAACGGCGGCCGUAACUAUAACGGUCCUAAGGUAGCGAAAUUCCUUGUCGGGUAAGUUCCGACCCGCACGAAAGGCGUAACGAUUUGGGCACUGUCUCAACGAGAGACUCGGUGAAAUCAUAGUACCUGUGAAGAUGCAGGUUACCCGCGACAGGACGGAAAGACCCCGUGGAGCUUUACUGUAGCCUGAUAUUGAAAUUCGGCACAGCUUGUACAGGAUAGGUAGGAGCCUUUGAAACGUGAGCGCUAGCUUACGUGGAGGCGCUGGUGGGAUACUACCCUAGCUGUGUUGGCUUUCUAACCCGCACCACUUAUCGUGGUGGGAGACAGUGUCAGGCGGGCAGUUUGACUGGGGCGGUCGCCUCCUAAAAGGUAACGGAGGCGCUCAAAGGUUCCCUCAGAAUGGUUGGAAAUCAUUCAUAGAGUGUAAAGGCAUAAGGGAGCUUGACUGCGAGACCUACAAGUCGAGCAGGGUCGAAAGACGGACUUAGUGAUCCGGUGGUUCCGCAUGGAAGGGCCAUCGCUCAACGGAUAAAAGCUACCCCGGGGAUAACAGGCUUAUCUCCCCCAAGAGUUCACAUCGACGGGGAGGUUUGGCACCUCGAUGUCGGCUCAUCGCAUCCUGGGGCUGUAGUCGGUCCCAAGGGUUGGGCUGUUCGCCCAUUAAAGCGGUACGCGAGCUGGGUUCAGAACGUCGUGAGACAGUUCGGUCCCUAUCCGUCGUGGGCGUAGGAAAUUUGAGAGGAGCUGUCCUUAGUACGAGAGGACCGGGAUGGACAUACCUCUGGUGUACCAGUUGUCGUGCCAACGGCAUAGCUGGGUAGCUAUGUGUGGACGGGAUAAGUGCUGAAAGCAUCUAAGCAUGAAGCCCCCCUCAAGAUGAGAUUUCCCAACUUCGGUUAUAAGAUCCCUCAAAGAUG
rnacentral:rRNA from 1 species